rnacentral:lncRNA from 1 species
AAGCUGCCGAUCAGCUGCCAGUCUGGAUAGUAGCCAUCAACUCAGCAAAGGCCUGCAGGCGAAUCAGCCCAACCUGUUUCUCUGCUGCCUUUCAAGACAGGAUGGUUUGUGAAAAGUGAAACGGGGCCCAUGCACCGCUUCCGCAGGGCCCUGCUGUGGGAGCUCAUGGAGGUGGCACGGUGCAUGGAAGGACAGAGUGGCUGACAGUGAGCUGCCCAAGCAAGCUGCUGGCUCUUGUGACCGUCUCCGAAAGCCUCUGGAUGGGCUAAAUUGCAGACGUGCCUGGACAUUUAUAAAUGGUGCUGCUAUCCAGCUCUACGUCACAGCGAUGAAGUGGCCAUGGGGUGAACUGUGUACAACUGCUGUCAUUAGUACUCGAAUCGGCAGAGCCACCUACUAGCUCUGAAGCGCAGUUGCCAGGCACCAGAUACUCGACCAGCAACCAACCUUUGUCGCUCUAGUGGGACACGAGAGCGACAAACAGAAACAAACGACAGCUACAAGCCUCCAACCCAUUCAGCAUGCCCGUGGUGGUACUUUUGGCAGGCGGCGUUUAUUCGUUCGGUGCUCGUGAAAUAAGCAUGAGUGAUUCUAAGCCUGCCAAAGAUACCCUCGCGUGCAUGAUGCUUGUGUUUAAGCAUAGCCUCCUUUAUUCUACAAAGCCUGUCAAAUCGGGAAAGACUCGGGUUUGAGACUUGUCGUCAUUUGUUUCUGUUUGUCGCUGUAGUGGAACUCGGGCAUAAGCUAGCACCAUGUACUGAACAUGAAAUAAAAAACCACUGUAUCAAACUUGA